GAUGAACGCUAGCGGCAGGCCUAAUACAUGCAAGUCAAGGGGAUAGCAAUAUCACCGGCGGACGGGUGCGUAACGCGUACACAACGUGCCCAAGGGCGGAGGAAAGCGGCGGGAAACUGCCGGUAAUACUCCAUGGUGUUGUUGAGUGGCAUCACUUAACAACUAAAGUACAAGCGCCCUUGGAUCGGUGUGCGUUCGAUUAGCUAGUUGGCGGGGUAACGGCCCACCAAGGCUUCGAUCGAUAGGGGGUNUGAGAGCAUGACCCCCCACACGGGUACUGAGACACGGACCCGACUCCUACGGGAGGCAGCAGUAAGGAAUAUUGGACAAUGGGCGGAAGCCUGAUCCAGCCAUGCCGCGUGAAGGACGAAGGCGCUCAGCGUUGUAAACUUCUUUUGGAUGGGAACAAUAACUCCGACUUGUCGGAACUUGAGGGUACCAUCAGAAUAAGCACCGGCUAACUCCGUGCC
rnacentral:rRNA from 1 species